rnacentral:rRNA from 1 species
ACGCUGGCGGCAGGCCUAACACAUGCAAGUCGAGCGGUAGAGAGAAGCUUGCUUCUCUUGAGAGCGGCGGACGGGUGAGUAAUGCCUAGGAAUCUGCCUGGUAGUGGGGGAUAACGUUCGGAAACGGACGCUAAUACCGCAUACGUCCUACGGGAGAAAGCAGGGGACCUUCGGGCCUUGCGCUAUCAGAUGAGCCUAGGUCGGAUUAGCUAGUUGGUGGGGUAAUGGCUCACCAAGGCGACGAUCCGUAACUGGUCUGAGAGGAUGAUCAGUCACACUGGAACUGAGACACGGUCCAGACUCCUACGGGAGGCAGCAGUGGGGAAUAUUGGACAAUGGGCGAAAGCCUGAUCCAGCCAUGCCGCGUGUGUGAAGAAGGUCUUCGGAUUGUAAAGCACUUUAAGUUGGGAGGAAGGGCAGUAAAUUAAUACUUUGCUGUUUUGACGUUACCGACAGAAUAAGCACCGGCUAACUCUGUGCCAGCAGCCGCGGUAAUACAGAGGGGUGCAAGCGUUAAUCGGAAUUACUGGGCGUAAAGCGCGCGUAGGUGGUUCGUUAAGUUGGAUGUGAAAUCCCCGGGCUCAACCUGGGAACUGCAUUCAAAACUGACGAGCUAGAGUAUGGUAGAGGGUGGUGGAAUUUCCUGUGUGGCGGUGAAAUGCGUAGAUAUAGGAAGGAACACCAGUGGCGAAGGCGACCACCUGGACUGAUACUGACACUGAGGUGCGAAAGCGUGGGGAGCAAAC